GCAUUGGUGGUUUAGUGGUAGAAUUCUUGCCUGCCACGCAGGAGACCCAGGUGCGAUUCCUGGCCAAUUUG
rfam:Danio rerio chromosome 4, GRCz11 reference primary assembly.